CCAUUUUUGGCUGUGGAGAUCACCGGAAAACUCUAUUUUCGACGAUCUUCACUCCAUUUUUCCCUUCCCAAACAAUAAGAACCCAAAUUUCACAUUUACACAAGGAUUUCUCAACACAUAUAUAUAAAAUCAUACUUUUUUCCAAAAAUAAAAAGAAAAACAUGAUUUUUUUUUUAAUAAAAAUCUUACAUUCUUCAGAGAGAAAUGACCAACUGGGUCUCCUGUUUUUCUUUUUUUGUCGGUGACUGGGUCGACGGUACUACAGUAAUUUUUCACUCUCCUUGACUGGUUUUUGCUUCUUUUUCGAAAGGCAAGGGGUAAAAUUGGGUUUCUCUUGAUUUUUGUUGGUUUUCAAGGUUUUCAAUAUUUUUGCUUUUUUUUUUUUUAACUGGUCAAAGGCCUCUUUGGAAAAAUGGCCGGGUCAACUGGCUGUUGGCCACUAUUUCCUCUACCUAUCAUUCACUCUUUGGGCCUUUUCUACCGUGCAGCCCAGUCCAUCCUCUUUUAUCAUGCUAUUUUUCAGUUUUGGAUUGGAGCCCAUUGAUAAAGUCGCCCUCCACAGCCAACGACGGUGCUAAUGCCUUGAAGAGAUGCCGACAUUCCUCCUCUUUCCUUCCCCAUUCCCCAUUUUCCCUAUUUUGAUAUGAUGCCAACAGAAUAUUGAACAAGCUCCGGAAACCCCUACAAAUCCUGCCGCUAGUAAUAGCUUCGAUUUCAUCAAUUCUGGAUAGGAUUUCAGAUUUCAAGGUGGUUCUCUCCUUUUCUUCACUCUCUUACCAAUCCCCUUUCUUCCUUGCAUCUAAAAUUGCCGGCAAUGGAGCCACCAUUCCUUCCACAAUUAGCGCAUACAUCCUAUGAUCGCGGACUUCUACCUUACUUGGUUCUUCUUUGCGGUUAUGGCUGUCAAUAUUUGCUCCGAUUUCCUCAGGUUCAGGUGAUGCCAUUGUGGGUUUUGAAACUGGAGCGACGGUCUGAAGAGUUUGGUACGUGGUUUGGUUAGAGGAGUAAUGGUGGAUGGUAUUUGGGCUGUAAGCAUUUGGGUUAUAUGAACUGGUUUUAGCUUUAGAUGGGUCGUAUUGUGAUUGGGCCUGCUUCAUUUCAUUCCUGUCAUCAACACUCUGGGCCACUUCCUUGCCUAAGUCCAGAUCCAUCAAAUCCAGCAAUUUCCUUUCGUUCUUCUCUAGAUUCAGCUCAUUUGCAGUGACCCUUUCCACGAGAUGCUCAUAUCUCUUCUCCUCCUCCGAGGAUGGUGAUGGUAAGAUUUCAAUUAGUCUCUGGUUUUUUCUGAUGACAACUUCCUCCCGGCAACUUUUUCUAACCGUACCUUUUCCUAUUUCGUUGUUUUUGGGUGAGAUUUCUGGAUUCGCACUGUUUUCGAUCAGAUUAAUUGCAAUUUCGAUUUCCUUUCUAUCCCACUUUUUCAUCAUCAGAUCCAUCUUCUCCAUCAUCCAGGACAUUACCUUGUUAAUUUCAGAUUUUAGUGUUUUCAUAUCUUCAUGGAUUUCCAACUGAAUUCCAUCAAUUUUCGUCUCCUCCACUCGAUCUUCUACUUGCUUUUCAUCUCCAAAUUUAAUACCCCAGGGCCAGAAUGGUUUCUCUGAUACCAUUUUGAUAGAAUGGUUGCUCUGAUACCAUUUUGAUAGAACCCCCUGUCAUUUACCGAAUCUGUUGUGGCAAACAGAGAAGAAGAUGGAGUCAACAAUGGGGUCUGAUUUGUAAUUGACCGGGAAAUAACGUAAAAUAUUGAAGAAUUGGAAUAGAAGUAUGUAUGAAUAAACUAUUCUGUAAUUGAUAAUAAUAGAAAUGAGAAAUUGAAAGAACAAUUCUCAGGCUAUUCGAAAGACUUGAAACCUCCCCCAUUUUUUCCUAACGGAAAACCACAAUUUCCAUGCCCUUUUCAGCCCCUUUCCUUCCAUAUUUAUUUGCAU
rnacentral:lncRNA from 1 species